rnacentral:rRNA from 1 species
GUCCAUGCCGUAAACGUUGGGCACUAGGUGUGGGGGGCAUUCCACGUUCUCCGCGCCGUAGCUAACGCAUUAAGUGCCCCGCCUGGGGAGUACGGUCGCAAGGCUAAAACUCAAAGGAAUUGACGGGGGCCCGCACAAGCGGCGGAGCAUGCGGAUUAAUUCGAUGCAACGCGAAGAACCUUACCAAGGCUUGACAUACACCAGACCGUCCUGGAAACAGGAUUUCUUCUUUGAAGCUGGUGUACAGGUGGUGCAUGGUU